rnacentral:rRNA from 1 species
AUUGAACGCUGGCGGCAUGCUUUACACAUGCAAGUCGAACGGUAACAGGGAGCUUGCUCCGCUGACGAGUGGCGAACGGGUGAGUAAUGCGUCGGAACGUGCCGAGUAGUGGGGGAUAACGCAGCGAAAGUUGUGCUAAUACCGCAUACGUACUGAGGUAGAAAGUGGGGGUCCUUCGGGCCUCACGCUAUUCGAGCGGCCGGCGUCUGAUUAGCUAGUAGGUGAGGUAAAGGCUCACCUAGGCGGCGAUCACUAGCGGGUCUGAGAGGAUGAUCGGCCACAGUGGGACUGAGACACUGCCCAGGCUCCUACGGGAGGCAGCAGUGGGGAAUUUUGGACAAUGGGCGCAAGCCUGAUCCAGCCAUGCCGCGUGUCUGAAGAAGGCCUUCGGGUUGUAAAGGACUUUUGUCCGGGAGCAAAGGCCUGGUGUUAAUAGCACUGGGAGCUGAGAGUACCGGAAAAAUAAGCACCGGCUAACUACGUGCCAGCAGCCGCCGUAAUAC